rnacentral:rRNA from 1 species
GGGCCCCUCGGGGCCCAACCUCCCACCCGUGUUGCCCGAACCUAUGUUGCCUCGGCGGGCCCCGCGCCCGCCGACGGCCCCCCUGAACGCUGUCUGAAGUUGCAGUCUGAGACCUAUAACGAAAUUAGUUAAAACUUUCAACAACGGAUCUCUUGGUUCCGGCAUCGAUGAAGAACGCAGCGAAAUGCGAUAACUAAUGUGAAUUGCAGAAUUCAGUGAAUCAUCGAGUCUUUGAACGCACAUUGCGCCCUCUGGUAUUCCGGAGGGCAUGCCUGUCCGAGCGUCAUUGCUGCCCUCAAGCCCGGCUUGUGUGUUGGGCCCCGUCCCCCCCGGCGGGGGGGACGGGCCCGAAAGGCAGCGGCGGCACCGCGUCCGGUCCUCGAGCGUAUGGGGCUUCGUCACCCGCUCUAGUAGGCCCGGCCGGCGCCAGCCGACCCCCAACCUUUAAUUAUCUCAGGUUGACCUCGGAUCAGGUAGGGAUACCCGCUGAACUUAAGCAUAUCAAUAA